rnacentral:lncRNA from 1 species
GUUUGGAGGUCUUUGGGGCCGCGCCGCGCGGGGGCGCUCUGCCGCUUCGUUUAUGGCGCGGUGAACCGGAAGCGCCUCCACCGGAAGUGCCCCCACCGGAAGCCGGAAGCUGAGGGGUGCGGCGCGGACGGAAGUGAGUGUGGGGCGGGAAAUGUGGGGCGGUGUGCGCGGAGUUGUGGGGCUGAAAGCUCCGCCCCAUCGCAGAGGGGAGGUGUGGGGCGGCCCCAUAUCUAUGGGGCAGGGCGCUAUGGGGCGGGACGCUAUGGGGCACAGCUCUAUGGGGCAGUCCUAUGUUUCCAAGUCAGGGCUCUAUGGGGCAGCCCCACAUGUAUGGGGCAGGGCUCUCUGAGGCAGGGUUCUAUGGGGCAGAGUUCUAUGGGGCAGCCCCACAUCUGUGGGGCAGGGCUCUAUGGGGCAGAGCUCUAUGGAGCAGCCCCACAUCUAUGGGGCAGGGCUCUAUGGGGUAGACCCACAUCUAUGGGGCUAGAGAUCUAUGGGGCAGCCCCACAUCUAUGGGGCAGGGCUCUAUGGGGCAGCCCCACAUCUGUGGGGCAGGGCGUAGGGCUCUAU